UGUCCACAUAAAGUCAUGAUAUCUUAAAAAAUAACGACGAGGGGCUAUGUCGAAAAAAACCAAUAAAAGGGAGAUAACUUCUAAAGGGGAUGAUGAAAUCCUUAACAGGGUCAUCUGGUAAUACUUCAUGAUGAGGUCUAUCGGUGGUUCAAAUUUGGUCUUGAUAACUUUAAUA